CUGUUUUUAUUUUUUAGAUAUUUACUAAUUUGUUAUGUACUUAAUCCCUCAGUUUCUAGUAAAAGCAUGUUAAACCCCUAUACUAUGAUUGCGAUUUGCAGAGUUUCUCCUUGUUAUUCUUCGUGGUCUAAUUGUCUUGGAUAAUUCUUCCUAUCAGUUAGGGUGUGAUCAGAAAAUCAGGAAGACUUUGAGUAAUGUUGAGGAAGGGAUUUAUUAUAAGGGUUGGACCAUAAACAACUGUGGGCUCUGGCUAAACUGUCUGUGCUGCUGCUUGUCUGGGGCUGCACCUAAAGGCAGCAGGGCCAACAGGAAGGAAAGUGGACAUGAAAUGGGGAGAGCAGGAAUAAGCCAGAAGCUGUGAGAAGACAAUGAAAACUCAGAGGACACACUGGAAACUGUGUCUGUCUCACUGCCUUCAGGCCUCCACAUUUGAUGAUAUUAAUCACCUGUAGGGGAAGCUGAAGCCCUUUGCCACAGAGCUGCACAUGUUGGUGCAGAAGUCACAGAAGCUGUGGGAAGAGGUCCAGCAAGAGUCACAGGAGCUCUGGGACCAGCUGCUGCCCCAGGUGCUGCAACAGCUGAGCUGCAGAGCACAAAUAUGGUUGUUACUUAACUCCUGCCUUCCAAAUUUCAUGCAAAUUUCUAUUGAGGCCCGCCCUAAUCUGGAAGCAUACAGGGAUGGGGAUUCUGGAAAGUCUAGUUUCAGAUUAGCUAGAAUGACUGCACAAAGCCAACACAGUUUCCCUCACUAUUUAGUUUCUUUCUUUAUUCUUUUAAAUGCUUUUAGCCUUUAACUAUUCUGUUCGAUAUUAAUGUUCUUACACUACUUUCUUUUGUUUAGGUUUUGCUUCAUAGAAGUUUCUCAUCCCUUUAUUUAACUUUCUAUUUGUAUUAGACAUGAAAAUCCAUGGCUCAUAUCUCCUGCUCAGGGAACAUAAUCAACCAGGUGUCCCAGCUGCUGUUCUUCUGGGUCCGCCACUGUGUUCAUGUUAAGGCCACAUUUCCCACAGGCUACUCAAGCAGCAACUGAGCAUAACAGGACAACUAAUGCAGGUCCAUUUCUGGAACACAUGGAACUCCACAACCAGAGGGGUCAGACCUUCAUGACAGGCUGAAGAGUUCCUUCUCCUCUUCUCCCUUUUACUUUACAAACAUUUCUCCAAUAAAUUUCUUACACAUCUAAUUUUGUCUCUUCUUGGUGUCUGCUUCUUGGAGAACCUGAACUAAUGCACUGUGUAUGUGUCACUUGUAAAGCAUGUUUUAAGAGGUCUAUGUUUAAUUUUAUUUUAAUCUGACAAAUUUUUCUUUUAAUGGAUGAGUUUAAUCUCAUGUUCUCUACUUGUGGUAUAUGAUAUGUUUAGUUUCACUAUUAUAUUGUUUUCUCUUUGCCAGCCUACUUCUUUACCUUUAGUUUUCCCCUUUCAUGUUUUCAAUUUGACUGCUUAAAUCCUAACAGGAAAAGCAUGGGCUACUACAAUAACAAAGCUUAAACUAUAAGUGGCUUCAAUUCAAAGUUAUUUCUCACCCAUUUUGUAUGAUCAUUGUACAUUGGCUUAUUUAGUCUCUCAGAAACCCAAACCGAUGAAGGCUCCAUCUCAACACACACUUUCCUAAGAAAGGCAAAUAAAAGAGAAUAUGCCAAACACUCACUGGCUCUUCAAGCUUCCAUCUAGAAGUGACACACGGCACUUCCACCUCCAUUGACUACAAGUAGUUACUUGGCCACUAAAUUCAAGUAUUGUAGUUACCUGAAUACCUAAAUUCAAAUGGGCAAGGAAAUGCAAUGCUAUCAUGUGCCCAGGUAGAAAAGGAUAUUUGUGUAUAGUCCUAUUGAAUACCUUUAUUCCCCUCUGUUGGGUUGAAAACCAUACAAUAUAUUCUUAUGCUUUUAAUGGUUGUUCUUAAAUAUGCUUUAAACCUAUCUACUUAACUACACAGUUGGCCUCCAUAUCUGUGGGUUCCGCAUCUGUGGAUUCAACGAAGCAUGAAUUGAAAAUACUUGAGAAAAAGACAUCUGUACUGAACAUGUGCAGAGUUUUUCUUGUCGUUAUUCUCCAAAACAAUAGAGUAAAACAAGUAUUUACAUAGCA
rnacentral:lncRNA from 1 species